AAGUCGUAACAAGGUUUCCGUAGGUGAACCUGCGGAAGGAUCAUUAUCGAAUAAACUUGAACAGGCUGUUUGCUGGUCUCCCCUGGGGGGGCAUGUGCACGCUUGUCAUCUUUAUCAUUUCUCCCAACUUGUGCACAUAUUUGUAGACCUGGAUGGAAUUCGUUCCGAGUUGGGACUGCUGUGCUUCAUUUCAAGAGGUCAGCUUUGCCUUGUAUUUUUACAGGUCUAUGUCAUUUUUCACAACCUCUGUAAAUGUGUUUAGAAUGAUAAUGGAUAUAUUGAAAAAGUUAUACAACUUUCAGCAACGGAUCUCUUGGCUCUCGCAUCGAUGAAGAACGCAGCGAAAUGCGAUAAGUAAUGUGAAUUGCAGAAUUCAGUGAAUCAUCGAAUCUUUGAACGCACCUUGCGCCCUUUGGUAUUCCGAAGGGCAUGCCUGUUUGAGUGUCAUUAAAUUCUCAAACCUUGAUCAGUUUUGCGACUGACUUCAAGGCUUUGGAUGUGGGAGUCUGCUGGAACUCUUUUGGUUCAGCUCUCCUCAAAUGCAUUAGCGGGUUACUUGAUCCCCUUUCCUUGGUGUGAUAAUUAUCUACGCCUUUGAAAUGAUCAGCAUUGUAUCAGCUUCUAACCGUCCAUUGACUUGGACAACUACUUAAUUGACCAUUUGACCUCAAAUCAGGUAGGACUACCCGCUGAACUUAAGCAUAUCAAUAAGCGGAGGAAAAGAAACUAACAAGGAUUCCCCUAGUAACUGCGAGUGAAGCGGGAAAAGCUCAAAUUUAAAAUCUGGCGGUCCUUGCGGCUGUCCGAGUUGUAAUUUAGAGAA
rnacentral:misc_RNA from 1 species